CCUACGGGAGGCAGCAGUGAGGAAUAUUGGUCAAUGGCCGGAAGGCUGAACCAGCCAUGCCGCGUGAAGGUCAGUGCCCUAUGGGCGUUAAACUUCUUUUGUGCGGGAGCAAUAAUGGUCACGUGUGCCCAGACGAGAGUACCGUACGAAUAAGCAUCGGCUAACUCCGUGCCAGCAGCCGCGGUAAUACGGGGGAUGCAAGCGUUAUCCGGAUUUAUUGGGUUUAAAGGGUGCGUAGGCUGUGAGGUAAGUCAGCGGUGAAAUGCCCCCGCUCAACGGGGUGAAGUGCCAUUGAUACUGCCUGGCUGGAAGGCGGAUGCCGUGGGAGGAAUGUGUGGUGUAGCGGUGAAAUGCAUAGAUAUCACACAGAACACCGAUUGCGAAGGCAUCUCACGAAUCCGCGAUUGACGCUGAUGCACGAAAGCGUGGGUAUCAAACAGGAUUAGAUACCCCAGUAGUC
rnacentral:rRNA from 1 species